GCAACAUCUCACGCACAUCUCCUUGUGCUUCAGAAGAUUUGUGCACACAUUUUAGUGACGUCACUGAAUACCAAAAUGGCGAAACAUUGAGACACAAUUAAGAUUUAGAACUAGUGUACCAUCAAGAGAAACCCUAACAUCUGUGUUUUCACACAUCAAAACAGCAACAAUGGGGCAUCGUCUUCCUGCUGCCGGUAUUCCAACAAAGUUAUCUGAACACUUCCAAUUCUACCGAGUGACUCCCCCUGAAGUCCAAUGCAAAACAACGAGGGGGCGGGAACAUUUUAACUCGUGCACACUCAGACCUAAGUUCCUGGCACGGAUUGUCUUGAGGCAGGUGUGCCAAUGUGAGAACCAGUGCUGCGCAGACAAGGAGAGGCUACUGGUGUGUUGCAAAAGGAUGAAUCCAUCUUCUUAUCUUGAACAGGAUUGUUAUGUUGAAAGCCCCAGGGAUGUUAGGUGCUUGGACAUAGAGCCGUGCAGUGGAAGACCCAAUUUUUGCCAGGAACAGAAAUGGAAGAGAAGAAGGACAGCAGGAAACGUUUGCAGAAAGGUAGAUAAAAGAAUGAAUUUUAUCGGAAAGAUUGAAGAGUGCUACCCAGAACUAGUCAAAGAACUCUGAAGCAGAAAUCCUUACACGUCGUUUUGAAGCUACAAAUCAGUCCUCACAGUAGAACUUGAGCUUGGGACGGCUCAGUGAGAGAGGUCGAAUAAAGGAAACUAGACACAGCACACAGAGUUACACUUCUUGUGUUUCAAACAUACAACUUGUAAAGACUUACACUUAUUUCUUGUCCAUUGAAUGUUACACUAUUUUAGGACACUAACAAACAGCGGCCUGGCCAAUGUCAUGUAGCAUAGGUCUGUGCAUCGCUUUUUACACAA